AAGUCGUAACAAGGUCUCCGUUGGUGAACCAGCGGAGGGAUCAUUACAGAGUUGCAAAACUCCCAACCCUUUGUGAACGAACCUACCAGUUGCCUCGGCGGGCUCGCCCGUCGAUGGACCUAUUUCAAAACUCUUAAUUGUUCAACUCGUGUUGUCUGAGCGAUACAAGCAAAAUUUUAUUAAAACUUUCAACAACGGAUCUCUUGGUUCUG
rnacentral:misc_RNA from 1 species